UAAUACGGAGGAUCCAAGCGUUAUCCGGAAUCAUUGGGUUUAAAGGGUCCGUAGGUGGAUAAUUAAGUCAGAGGUGAAAGUUUGCAGCUCAACUGUAAAAUUGCCUUUGAUACUGGUUAUCUUGAGUUAUUAUGAAGUAGUUAGAAUAUGUAGUGUAGCGGUGAAAUGCAUAGAUAUUACAUAGAAUACCAAUUGCGAAGGCAGAUUACUAAUAAUUAACUGACACUGAUGGACGAAAGCGUGGGGAGCGAACAGGAUUAGAUACCCUGGUAGUCCACGCCGUAAACGAUGGAUACUAGCUGUUCGGAUUUCGGUCUGAGUGGCUAAGCGAAAGUGAUAAGUAUCCCACCUGGGGAGUACGUUCGCAAGAAUG
rnacentral:rRNA from 1 species